rnacentral:rRNA from 1 species
GUGAAAUGCGUAGAUAUGUGGAGGAACACCAGUGGCGANGGCGGCUCUCUGGUCUGUAACUGACGCUGAGGCGCGAAAGCGUGGGGAGCGAACAGGAUUAGAUACCCUGGUAGUCCACGCCGUAAACGAUGAGUGCUAGGUGUUGGGGGCUUCCACCCUCAGUGCUGAAGUUAACACAUUAAGCACUCCGCCUGGGGAGUACGACCGCAAGGUUGAAACUCAAAGGAAUUGACGGGGGCCCGCACAAGCAGUGGAGCAUGUGGUUUAAUUCGAAGCAACGCGAAGAACCUUACCAGGUCUUGACAUCCUCUGCCACUCCUAGAGAUAGGACGUUCUCCUUCGGGGGACAGAGUGACAGGUGGUGCAUGGUUGUCGUCAGCUCGUGUCGUGAGAUGUUGGGUUAAGUCCCGCAACGAGCGCAACCCUUGAUCUUAGUUGCCAGCAUUAAGUUGGGCACUCUAAGGUGACUGCCGGUGACAAACCGGAGGAAGGUGGGGACGACGUCAAAUCAUCAUGCCCCUUAUGACCUGGGCUACACACGUGCUACAAUGGACGGUACAAAGGGCAGCGACACCGCGAGGUGAAGCGAAUCCCAUAAAGCCGUUCUCAGUUCGGAUUGUAGGCUGCAACUCGCCUACAUGAAGCCGGAAUUGCUAGUAAUCGCGGAUCAGCAUGCCGCGGUGAAUACGUUCCCGGGCCUUGUACACACCGCCCGUCACACCACGAGAGUUUGUAACACCCGAAGUCGGUGAGGUAACCUUUUGGAGCCAGCCGCCGAAGGUGGGACAAAUGAUUGGGGUGAAGUCGUAACAAGGUAA